rnacentral:rRNA from 1 species
GUUUGAUCAUGGCUCAGGAUGAACGCUAGCGGCAGGCUUAAUACAUGCAAGUCAAGGGGGUAGCAAUACAACCGGCGCACGGGUGAGUAACGCGUACACAACAUACCAUAUACUGGGGUAUAGCUUCGGGAAACUGGAGAUAAUCCCCCAUAACAUUGCGAGAGGGCAUCUGAUUGCAAUUAAAGUUUCGACGGUAUAUGAUUGGUGUGCGUUUGAUUAGCUUGUUGGUAGGGUAACGGCCUACCAAGGCGACGAUCAAUAGCUGGCGUGAGAGCGCGACCAGCCACACUGGAACUGAGACACGGUCCAGACUCCUACGGGAGGCAGCAGUAGGGAAUAUUGGACAAUGGGCGAAAGCCUGAUCCAGCCAUGCCGCGUGAUAGAUGAAGGCCCUCUGGGUUGUAAAUAUCUUUUAUCUGGGAAGAAACUCCUCUAUUCUUAGAGGCCUGACGGUACCAGAGGAAUAAGCACCGGCUAACUCCGUG